rnacentral:rRNA from 1 species
AAAACAUGUCUGUAUGAGAGUUACAUAAAGUCUGGCCUGCCCAUUGGGGACUAAAAGGCCGCGGUAUUUUGACCGUGCGAAGGUAGCAUAAUCAUUAGUCUUUUAAUUGAAGGCUGGAAUGAAUGGUUGGACGAGAAGGAAGCUGUCUUUAUCUCGUAGAUUGAAUUUAACUUUUAAGUGAAAAGGCUUAAAUGAGUUAGAGGGACGAUAAGACCCUAUAAAGUUUAUACAUGAAGCUGGUUAAGAGUGAUUUAGGGUGAUAAAGUUUAUUAUUAGCAGGGUGUUUAGUUGGGGCGACUGAGAUAUAAAUCAUAUAACUGUUUUUUGUUUAAAUCAGAGAUACUUGCUGGUAUUGGUCCCUUUUUAGGAUUAGAGAAAAAAUUACUUUAGGGAUAACAGCGUAAUUUUUUUUAAGAGUUCUUAUCGACAAAAGAGUUUGCGACCUCGAUGUUGAAUUAAAAAUUUCUCUGUGGUGUAGCAGUUACAGGAGGAAGGUCUGUUCGACCUUUAAAUUUUUACAUGAUUUGAGUUCAGACCGGCGAAAGCCA